rnacentral:rRNA from 1 species
CCUACGGGAGGCUGCAGUGAGGAAUAUUGGUCAAUGGCCGGAAGGCUGAACCAGCCAAGCCGCGUGAAGGACGAAGGUGCCAAGCAUUGUAAACUUCUUUUGUCAAGGGACAAAAUCAGGCUCGAGAGCCUGAACGAGGGUACUUGAAGAAAAAGCAUCGGAUAACUCCGUGCCAGCAGCCGCGUUAAGACGGAGGAUGCGAGCGUUAUCCGGUUUUAUUGGGUUUAAAGGGUGCGUAGGCGGACGUUUAAGUCAGCGGUAAAAGCCCGGGGCUCAACCCCGGCGAGCCGUUGAAACUGGCUGUGUUUAGAUGUCGUGUGGUAUGGGGAAUGCGCAGUGUAGCGGUGAAAUGUUUAGAUAUUGCGCAGAACUCCGAUUGCGAAGGCAGCAUACCGGCGGCGAUCUGACGCUGAGGCACGAAAGCGUGGGUAUCGAACAGGAUGAGAUACCCGAGUAGUC